AGCUGGUUGAUUUCGGGUCAAAU
rnacentral:miRNA from 12 species